UAAAGGAGCGAUCCGGUGACGGAUGGGCAUGCGUGACAUUAGCUAGUCGGCGGGGUAACGGCCCACCGAGGCGACGAUGUCUAGGGGUUCUGAGAGGAAGGUCCCCCACACUGGUACUGAGACACGGACCAGACUCCUACGGGAGGCAGCAGUGAGGAAUAUUGGUCAAUGGGCUUACGCCUGAACCAGCCAAGUCGCGUGAGGGAAGACUGCCCUAUGGGUUGUAAACCUCUUUUGUCAGGGAGCAACGCCGGCUACGUGUAGCCGGACUGAGAGUACCUGAAGAAAAAGCAUCGGCUAACUCCGUGCCAGCAGCCGCGGUAAUACGGAGGAUGCGAGCGUUAUCCGGAUUUAUUGGGUUUAAAGGGUGCGUAGGCGGAAUGCCAAGUCAGCGGUAAAAUCGCGGGGCUCAACCUCGCUCCGCCGUUGAAACUGGCGUUCUUGAGUGGGCGAGAAGUAUGCGGAAUGCGUGGUGUAGCGGUGAAAUGCAUAGAUAUCACGCAGAACUCCGAUUGCGAAGGCAGCAUACCGGCGCCCAACUGACGCUGAAGCACGAAAGCGUGGGUAUCGAACAGGAUUAGAUACCCUGGUAGUCCACGCAGUAAACGAUGAAUACUAGCUGUUCGGGGCAAAUGAGCCUUGAG
rnacentral:rRNA from 1 species